GAGCUCUGAACCCUCCCGCUCGUCAGGGGAAAACAGCUGUUUUCAAUUACCAAUUCCUUCUCCUGCUGGAUAAAAGCCGGUGUUCCUUUGUCAGGAGAAGAGAGAGCUUCUUUGAUGUCCUGUUUUGGUUGUUGCCCAGUAACAGUUUUGUUGAAUGUGUUUUGUUGCUGCUACUUCUGAGGGGGGAAGUCACCUUGGGAGUGCUUAGGCAAGAGGCCUGCGGACGUACAUAACUCGUAGUGUGCAUAGACCGUAAAUACUAUGUAAGAUCUGGGCGGACCACACCCUGUAUUUUGGUUAGCGCGCCAGGGGGUGCUAAAAGGUUAGGGAGUUGAGUGUAGCAGGGUGUUGCGUUCCCCCCUCCAAGAGGCGAAGAGCUCAUGGUGUCUGGGUGCAGUUUUGCAGCUGUUAGCUGGAACCUGUCACCCUGAUCUGCCACAAACAGCCGUUUCAGUGGACCACCUGCGCCAGUUUGCAGCCCUUCAGCUGGAGUGUGGGGUACCCAGAAUUUCAAGCCGGGGAUGCGCUGCGAUCCAGAAACUGGAUAUAACUGGUGUGUUUGGGAUGGCGUGCAGGCACGAGCAUCCACUGAAGUUCCUGAACCUGAAAAGAGGAGAGAAGCCCAGGAGAUGGCAGUCCAUAACAAGUCCAAUUUAUAUGUUGGGGAAGUACCUGAAACAUAUCCGUUUCCAUGGCAGAGGAAUGUUUGCGAUCAUGGAUAAAGUGCACUGCCACUACUUUGUCAAGCUGGUGGAAGGGCUCCCAUCUAAAGUGGAACAGAAGACAGGCUAUUUCAAUCGCAUCAUUAUCCACACACGAUAUGGCAACUAAUACACUCUGUCAUUUGAUAUUUGUCGUAAAUAAAUCAUGU